GUAUGUGUUCUCUAGAAAAGGACUCGUUUUUCUGUCUACCAGAGAAAUAGUCCAGGUGCUGCAGCUGCCUGACCGACUGUCAAGGGCAAUGCGGCUGCCUGGGGACACAGGU